GUACUUGCUUUGUCAGUACAUAUGCUAAAAUUGGAACGAUACAGAGAAGAUUAGUAUGGCCCCUGAGCAAGGAUGACCAAUAAAUUUCACAAUACCCUAUAAAUAUGC